CUUGUCUGAGUACAUCCAACUGGAAUGUACCUGUUGCAUAUCCAGUAGACUACAUCUAGUACGAAACCCAACCGGCAUUAACGGUCGAACUGUUUCGGAAUUGCUGCUCGACAUAGCUCUCACAGUAAGUAUAAUUUCAUGCCCGUUCACUCGUGCUAUUUGUUUGAACAUUAUUCAAAAGGUUUAGCCACCUAUCAAUCAAUGUUCGUGUCAGUAUAUACAAGAGAGUGAUGCUCGAGAGACGUAUAUCGUUCCCUCAAGCUUUACUCAAAAAGGGCGAGUGCUGUCAAAUGGUUAUAGGGUGAGUGUAGGUCUCGGUGUACUCUUGAUGUAAUUAGUGCAUUUUCCCGCGUAAUAUUAUGGGCAAACAAUUAAUGCUUUAUAGGUGCGUGAAGAAUUCAUUCUUGGUGGGCGAUUAAGGUUUUCAGCUUACUACGGCCUGUUUUAUACGUCGAAUUUUGUGUUAUCGUUCCAUGUCUCGCGCACCAAUAUAGGUUAGGGGUUAGGUUUAGGUUUAAGGUUAGGGUGUGUAUAUAUAUGUAUAUAUACACACCCUAAAAAAGGGCGUUAAAAAUUAUUUUCCCUGGAACUAUCUAUGCUGAAUGUUUGCUUAAAGCUAACUUGACGACUCUUUACGAACGUAGAACUGUCCAUUGCAAGCGACUUUUUUCGAAGAUGUUGGAACCCAC